CUCAUCUUAUGUGGGGGUUCCGUUCCAUGGUUAGCGCGUAAAGUGAAAACCGCGUAUAGUGAAACACUCACUGAGUUGAAUGGCGGGCAAAAUCGCCCACACUACAGAUGCAGUUUUUAUAUUGUUAUUUGUUUUUUUCCCCCCGUUUUUGCCGACCACGCAAAGCUGAAUUCGCGCAUAUUAAAUGCGCCUAAGAUGCGACUUGUCUGUAAAUGUGAACCUAAAGCAGUG